rnacentral:rRNA from 1 species
CUGGUGGAAGUUAGCUUCUCGUAUUGCUGACGCCAGAGAAAGUCGGGCACCGUCAGGUGUUAUGCCGGGCUAGUCGAGUAUCUAUCUCGUGAUGGGCAGAUACCGGCAAGACAACCUUUGAUCGGGGAAGGCUACGGCAUUUCGAUGCUACGCCAAUCCCGGGCAGAGCUUCCGCAAAGGGAUUUGUGGAUAGCCUGUGUAGAGCGCAGAAAGGUGUCGGCUACCUAUCAAGUAGCUUGAGGGAUGUGCCAUUCCCAUCCGAAAGGGUGGCUGCCAGCAUUAGCGCCCAUCACGCAAAGGCUGGCAGGUUUAAGCUUUGGGACAAGCGUUGGGUUGCCAUUGCGCAUUUGUCUUGAAGUUUGGGGAGUUCAAAAGGCCAGCAGCCGCGGUAAUUCCAGCUCCAAUAGCGUAUAUUAAAGUUGUUGCAGUUAAAAAGCUCGUAGUUGAACCUUUGGCCUGGCUGGCGGGUCCGCCUCACCGCGUGCACUUGUCCGGCCGGGCCUUCUUCUCUGGAGAACCGCAUGCCCUUCACUGGGUGUGUUGGGGACCAGGACUUUUACUUUGAAAAAAUUAGAGUGUUCAAAGCAGGCCUUUGCUCGAAUACGUUAGCAUGGAAUAAUAGAAUAGGACGUGCGGUCCUAUUUUGUUGGUUUCUAGGACCGCCGUAAUGAUUAAUAGGGACAGUCGGGGGCAUCAGUAUUCAAUUGUCAGAGGUGAAAUUCUUGGAUUUAUUGAAGACUAACUACUGCGAAAGCAUUUGCCAAGGAUGUUUUCAUUAAUCAGUGAACGAAAGUUAGGGGAUCGAAGACGAUCAGAUACCGUCGUAGUCUUAACCAUAAACUAUGCCGACUAGGGAUUGGGCGGUGCUAUUAUGUUGGCUCGCUCAGCACCUUACGAGAAAUCAAAG